rnacentral:rRNA from 1 species
UACGAAGGGGGCUAGCGUUGCUCGGAAUCACUGGGCGUAAAGGGCGCGUAGGCGGCCUUUUAAGUCGGAGGUGAAAGCCCAGGGCUCAACCCUGGAAUUGCCUUCGAUACUGGGAGUCUUGAGUUCGGAAGAGGUUGGUGGAACUGCGAGUGUAGAGGUGAAAUUCGUAGAUAUUCGCAAGAACACCGGUGGCGAAGGCGGCCAACUGGUCCGAAACUGACGCUGAGGCGCGAAAGCGUGGGGAGCAAACAGG